CCUACGGGAGGCAGCAGUGAGGAAUAUUGGUCAAUGGGCGCGAGCCUGAACCAGCCAAGUAGCGUGAAGGAUGACUGCCCUACGGGUUGUAAACUUCUUUUAUAAAGGAAUAAAGUGAGGCACGUGUGCAUUUUUGUAUGUACUUUAUGAAUAAGGAUCGGCUAACUCAGUGCCAGAAGCCGUGGUAGUACGUAGGAUCCGAACGUUUACCGGAUUUAGUGGGUUUAAAGGGAGCGUAGAUUGGUUUUUAAGUCAGUUGUGAAAGUUUUCGGGUCAACCGUAAAAUUGCAAUUGAUACUGGCAGCCUUGAGUACAGGUGAGGUAGGCGGAAUUCGUGGUGUAGCGGU
rnacentral:rRNA from 1 species